CUCUUCCAACCUCUGCAAGAUCCCACCAAGCACACACACAGAUUGCCCCUUGAUCAUCACAAAGCUCAUGGCUGUUCCCAGAUGGGAAAACUGAGGCCCAGAGAGAGUCAGUGACUUGCCCGGAGACACGCAGCUGCUCUAAACAAGAGUAUGUCGUCCAAGCCAGGAAGGGUCAGACCCAGUGACUACUUCAGAGACAGACACAUGACCCAAGUUAGUCCAA